AUGUAGCCAAGUGGAUCAAGGCRGUGGAUUUGA
rnacentral:tRNA from 1 species